GCAAUGAAGAAAGCAGCUUACACUCCAUUAAUAUGAACACAAAGCCUUGGUGCCAUAGACAAUUUGUUUUUGUUUUUGUUUGUUUGCUUUGUUGGUUUGAAAAAUAAAUUUGUGAUCAUGCCUCUGGAUCACAAUGACAAAUAAUGAUUAGGCAUAUGAUUUCCUAAUGCCUAGUUUUAGAGCUGUGAGUUAUGAGCUGUAAGCAAUGCAAAGUUUUUCCUUAACUUAAAAGUUUGAAAUAUGUAAGAUGUAUGAAUUCUUUGAGAAAUAGGAAUUGCCUAAAAUGCCCUAAGUCAAAAUGUAGUGUUGCAUCUACAAAGAAGAAAGCAGAAGAAGCAUUCAGUAACUUGAAACUGGCAUUACAGACAAAUACAGUUUUGGCUUUGCCUGAUUAUGAUAAGCCUUUCUACUUACACGUACGUGCAGGCCUGUGCAGCCGCAGCAGAAGCAGUAAGAAAGUCAGCUGACAUUGCUUUAGGGCACAAUUUAAUCAUCAGAAUACCCAAAAUAAUAUGAUUUGAUGACUUGUGAAGGUAAACCGAUACUCCCCAAGUCCCUGUGCAGAACAGCAGCAUUAGUGACACAUGGGGUGACCCAUGUGUCCUCAGGGGGGAUAGUCCAGGUCCUUAAUACACACUUUUAUACUCUAGUGAUUAUAGAUUUAUCCAGUGUAAAAAGCAGAUGCAAUCUCAGUUGUAAAAAGUGAACCUUUAGAAAAAUCCGUCAGAGAAACAACUCUGGCAGAAUGGAUGGCAAAACUACUAGAAAAUAAGGAUAUUGUUUUGAACAAUAAACUGCCGUAAGACUCUCCAGUCUCUUGCAGGUUGACACCAAGUGUUAUUGACGACACCCACAGCCUGUAAAUUGCAGAGAGACCCUCCUGGAUACAUCAGAGCCACUGCAAAAGGGUUGAGGUCCCGGGAAGCCCCAUCACUAAGGAGGAAGCACAUUAGGAAGGCCUCACCUACGUUUGGUUGCUUCGGGGGUGAGGGGGGGUAGUGCGAUUGGGCCCCCGUUGGGUAAGCCUGCACUCCACUCUCUAUCCGAUCAACUUUAGGGCAGCCAGGUGCAGGUGUGAUGGACCAAUGUGCAACAAUGUGAAGGGGAAGCCUCCUGGUUACCUUGACUACAAAAGCUCACCCUUACAUCCAUCCUUGGAUGAAAAAUGCCUGAUACAGACCACAGAGAAAGACUGUUAUGUUUGCUCGCACAUGCCGAGCAUAUUAACACAACCAUAUAUGGGAAACACCCUGGAACAAGUGCACCAAAUCUGAUCUAAUGACUUUUGUAAGGUGCACAACCUCAUCAACAUCCUGAUCCAGGAAGGAGCCCUGAACUUUAACAAGUUUUAAAGAGACUGUUGAUCAUCAUUGAAUUUUUCUUGAUUUCAUUUUGCUUUUCUUUACUUAUGUUAUUCUUUGUUUAAAGCUGUAAUUUCACAGAUGAUAAGUUUAUCAUUCACAGCAUACGCAGAUGUACUGAAAUCUAUGAAGAUCAUGAAGACUUCUUUUCCUAUUUUUCAGAUGAAGAUGAAGUGUAACUAAUGAUGUAGUAACUGAGAAUGUGAAAGACAAGUAGUUACUCACUGAUGAAUUGUACAUUUCAUUUCGUGAUCAACAGGAGGGAAUGUCAAGAGAAUAUUGUAUAAUAUGAUCAGCUAUAUGAAAUGUAUCUUUUUAUAUUAUUAUUAAGGACAUGUCUAAGUGACUUUUCACCUAGUAACUUGUGUGCAGCUACUAACCGCUUCCUGUCUUCAGAGAACAGAGAAGUGAAGACUCAGCUCUAUUAGAAGAACAUGCAAAUGUAGUGAAGGGGAAAAACCCGCGGCUCUAAAUGACGUUGUUACCUUUGUACACACACACACACAUACACAAACACACACUCACACAGAAAAGUAUAAAUAAAGGACGCGGACAGUCAAUAGACGCAGAUCCUGUGUUCAUGGCUGCCCUCGCGAGGAAAAACUUCUGCAGUGUUUGUGUGUUUUCUAAACUCAGGAGUCUUGGCUAAAGAAAGAGCGGCAGGGUGAUUUAAAGAAAUCCCCUGUCACAGACUGUUGGUGAGGUCUUAGUUUGAAGAUGCAGGCUGUUGCUGAGGUCCUAGUUUGAAGGAGGAGACUGUUGGUGAGGUCCUAGUUUGAAGAUGCAGGCUGUUGGUGAGGUCCUAGUUUGAAGGAGGAGACUGUUGGUGAGGUCCUAGUUUGAAAAUGCAGGCUGUUGGUGAGGUCGUAGUUUGAAGGAGGAGACUGUUGGCGAGGUCCUAGUUUGAAGAUAAAGACUGUCGGCGAGGUCCUAGUUUGAAGGAGGAGACUGUUGCCGAGGUCCUAGUUUGAAGGAGGAGACUGUUGGCGAGGUCUUAGUUUGAAGAUGCAGACUGUUGGCGAGGUCGUAGUUUGAAGACGCAGACUGUUGGCCAGGUCCUAGUUUGAAGGAGGAGACUGUUGGCGAGGUCGUAGUUUGAAGGAGGAGACUGUUGGUGAGGUCCUAGUUUGAAGGAGGAGACUGUUGGCGAGGUCUUAGUUUGAAGAUGCAGACUGUUGGUGAGGUCCUAGUUUGAAGGAGGAGACUGUUGGCGAGGUUCUAGUUUGAAGAUGCAGACUGUUGGUGAGGUCCUAGUUUGAAGGAGGAGACUGUUGGCGAGGUUCUAGUUUGAAGAUGCACACUGUUGGUGAGUUCCUAGUUUGAAGGAGGAGACUGUUGGCGAGGUCCUAGUUUGAAGGAGGAGACUGUUGGUGAGGUCCUAGUUUGAAGAUGCAGACUGUUGGUGAGGUCCUAGUUUGAAGAUUUAGGCUGUUGGCGAGGUCCUAGUUUGAAGAUGCAGACUGUUGGCGAGGUCCUAGUUCGAAGAUGUAGACUGUUGGUGAGGUCCUAGUUUGAAGAUGCAGACUGUUGGCGAGGUCCUAGUUUGAAGGAGGAGACUGUUGGCGAGGUCUUAGUUUGAAGGAGGAGACUGUUGGCGAGGUCCUAGAUGAAGAUGCAGACUGUUGGUGAGGUCCUAGUUUGAAGGAGGACACUGUUGGCAAGGUCCUAGUUUGAAGGAGGAGACUGUUGGCGAGGUCUUAGUUUGAAGGAGGAGACUGUUGGCGAGGUCUUAGUUUGAAGAUGCAGGCUGAUGGCGAGGUCCUAGUUUGAAGAUGCAGACUGUUGGUGAGGUCCUAGUUUGAAGAUGCAGACUGUUGGUGAGGUCCUAGUUUGAAGGAGGAGACUGUUGGCGAGGUCCGAGUUUGAAGAUGCAGGCUUUUGGUGAGGUCGUAGUUUGAAGGAGGAGACUGCUGGCGAGGUCCUAGUUUGAAGAUGCAGACUGUUGGCGAGGUCCUAGUUUGAAGGAGUAGACUGUUGUUGAGGUCCUAGUUUGAAGAUGCAGACUGUUGGUGAGGUCCUGGUUGGAGAUGCAGACUGUUAGUGAGGUCCUAGUUUGAAGGAGGAGACUGUUGGCGAGGUCCUAGUUUGAAGAUGCAGACUAUUGGCCAGGUCCUAGUUUGAAGGAGGAGACUGUUGCCGCGGUCCUAGUUUGAAGGAGGAGACUGUUGGCGAGGUCUUAGUUUGAAGAUGCAGACUGUUGGUGAGGUCGUAGUUUGAAGAUGCAGGCUGUUGGCGAGGUCCUAGUUUGAAGAUUCAGACUGUUGGUGAGGUCCUAGUUUGAAGGAGGAGACUGCUGGCGAGGUCCUAGUUUAAAGAUGCAGACUGUUGGCGAGGUCCUAGUUUGAAGAUGCAGGCUGUUGGUGAGGUCCUAGUUUGAAGGAGGAGACUGUUGGCGAGGUCCUAGUUUGAAGAUGCAGACUGUUGGCGAGGUCCUAGUUUGAAGGAGGAGACUGUUGGCGAGGUUCUAAUUUGAAGGAGGAGACUGUUGGCGAGGUCUUAGUUUGAAGAUGCAGACUGUUGGUGAGGUCCUAGUUUGAAGAUGCAGACUGUUGGUGAGGUCUUAGUUUGAAGAUGCAGGCUGUUGGUGAGGUCCUAGUUUGAAGGAGGAGACUGUUGGCGAGGUCUUAGUUUGAAGAUGCAGGCUGUUGGUGAGGUGCUAGUUUGAAGAUGCAGGCUGUUGGCGAGGACCUAGUUUGAAGGAGGAGACUGUUGCCGAGGUCCUAGUUUGAAGGAGGAGACUGUUGGUGAGGUCGUAGUUUGAAGAUGCAGGCUGUUGGCGAGGUCCUAGUUUGAAGAUUCAGACUGUUGUUGAGGUCCUAGUUUGAAGGAGGAGACUGCUGGCGAGGUCCUAGUUUGAAGAUGCAGACUGUUGGCGAGGUCCUAGUUUGAAGAUGCAGGCUGUUGGUGAGGUCCUAGUUUGAAGGAGGAGACUGUUGGCGAGGUCCUAGUUUGAAGAUGCAUGCUGUUGAUGAGGUCCUAGUUUGAAGAUGCAGACUGUUGGCGAAGUCCUAGUUUGAAGGAGGAGACUGUUGGCGAGGUUCUAAUUUGAAGGAGGAGACUGUUGGCGAGGUCUUAGUUUGAAGAUGCAGACUGUUGGUGAGGUCCUAGUUUGAAGAUGCAGACUGUUGGUGAGGUCUUAGUUUGAAGAUGCAGGCUGUUGGUGAGGUCCUAGUUUGAAGGAGGAGACUGUUGGCGAGGUCUUAGUUUGAAGAUGCAGGCUGUUGGUGAGGUCCUAGUUUGAAGAUGCAGGCUGUUGGCGAGGACCUAGUUUGAAGGAGGAGACUGUUGGCGAGGUUCUAGUUUGAAGGAGGAGACUGUUGGCGAGGUCUUAGUUUGAAGAUGCAGACUGUUGCCAAGGUCCUAGUUUGAAGAUGCAGGUUGUUGGCGAGGUCCUAGUUUGAAGAUGCAGACUGUUGGUGAGGUCCUAGUUCGAAGAUGUAGACUGUUGGUGAGGUCCUAGUUUGAAGGAGCAGACUGUUGGCGAGGUGCUAGUUUGAAGAUGCAGGUUGUUGGUGAGGUCCUAGUUUGUAGAUGCAGACUGCUGGCGAGGUCCUAGUUUGAAGAUGCAGACUGUUGGUGAGGUCCUAGUUUGAAGGAGGAGAGUGUUAGCGAGGUCAUUUUUUGAAGAUGCAGGAUGUUGGUGAGGUCCUAGUUUGAAGAUGCAGGCUGUUGGUGAGGUCCUUGUUUGAAGAUGCAGACUGUUGGCGAGGUCCCAGUUUGAAGGAGGAGACUGUUGGCGAGAUCCUAGUUUGAAGAUGCAGAUUGUUGGUGAGGUCCUAGUUUGAAGAUGCAGACUGUUGGCGAGGUCCUAGUUUGAAGGAGGAGAGUGCUGGCGAGGCCCUAGUUUGAAGAUGGAGAUUGUUGGUGAGGUCCUAGUCUGAAGAUGCAGACUGUUGGCGAGGUCUCAGUUUGAAGAUGCAGACUGUUGGUGAGGUCCUAGUCUGAAGAUGCAGACUGUUGUCGAGGUCUCAGUUUGAAGAUGCAGACUGUUGGUGAGGUCCUAGUUUGAAGGAGGAGACUGUUGGCGAGGUCCUAGUUUGAAGAUGCAGACUGUUGGUGAGGUCCUAGUCUGAAGAUGCAGACUGUUGGCGAGGUCUCAGUUUGAAGGAGGAGACUGUUGGUGAGGUCCUAGUUUGAAGGAGGAGACUGCUGGCGAGGUCCCAGUUUGAAGAUGCAGACUGUUGGUGAUGUCCUAGUUUGAAGAUGCAGACUAUUGGCGAGUUCCCAGUUUGAAGAUGCAGACUGUUGGUGAGGUCCUAGUUUGAAGGAGGAGAGUGUAUGUGAGGUCCUAGUUUGAAGACGCAGACUGUUAGGGCGUUUCUACGCUGAAGGAGGAGACUGUUCCAAAGUUUAGGUGCAGCUGUACUAGAAUGCCUGAUCUCCUCUCUGCUUCAUUCGGCUUCUUGGUGCAGACCGAAGCAUCUGGUCAUUUGACGUCAGUGUGCCACGAACUCUAUCAGUGAUGUAAAAAUAAUAAAAUCAAUUCUAACAGACACUGGGAAGCCAAAAUGCGAGACUGCUUGCGUUUGCCUCUCCAGAGUCAAGCUAAAUACUUGCUCAUGUAUGUGCAUGCUGCUAAUUAAACAGUGCUUCCCUCAACAUAUGAAAGGAGAUUUCUUUCUUACUAUUUCCUUUCAACUGUCCUGUUUUCCUUCUUCACAUACCCCAAUUUCUCUGUUUGCUAGUAGAAGUGCCUCUGACCAUACAUAGGAACAAAUGAAGGCCUGGCUAUCUCAGGAAUUUAAAGCACAACUAUUCAAAAUAAAUAUUAUUACUGAGUUUUUGUUGGUAGCUUUUCCAAAAUCACCAUAAACCACAAAAUGCUUAGAAUUACAUUUUUAAAUGCUUGUAAAGAAAACAAACUACUACUAGGAAAGGUGUAGGCUUUAACAAGGGUUAACUAUCUUAUCUAUGAAUAAAUGAGCUUAUCUUUUAUUAAAACAUUACGCCUAUCAUAAGCAGGUAUGCAGAUCUCAUCACAUAAAGUCUAAUUUCUUGGCCCACUGUCCCAGGGAUGUUGGAGGGCUCCUUUGGUAUUCUUAA